GAGAAAAUGUCAAAAUUUGUCAUUUAAUUAUCACAUACAUUUUUUUCAUUCAUUAUCUAUAUAGUGUAUUUCUCAAACAGGAAAGUGCACUUUCUACUCUUCCCACUAAAUCCCACAUCAUCAUGAUGAUAUAUAUAUAUAUAAGCAUGUCAGCCCUCAGGCUAUGUGACCCCCACAGCAGAGCUAUCUAAUUCUGAAUGGAACAUAAUGUAAAAUAAAUGAAUGAGUUAUAAAUAUUAAAUAAUAAUAUGAAUAAAUAUUCUUUAUUUAGUUUGUUCUUUAUUCUCAAUUCUUUUUUUUUUAUCAAUAAUCCCAUUAUUCUCUAUGAUUCUUUAUUCCAUAUUUCUGCUUUUUUUAGUAUCUGUUCUUUAUUUUUUUUUUCUUUAUUUUGCACUUUUUAUCAUUAUUUUCUAUAUUCUUAAACCCCAAUCUUGAUUCCAGACCAUCAUAUAUAUAUAUAUAUAUAUACGUAAAUGUACGAAAGCUUGCAUGGUGCGUCGAAUACGGAAACCCGGAAAUCUUUUCACCGUUACCAUUUUUUAUUUUAUGACGCAAAAUCCAUGGACGCUCACGCGAUCGCUGUUGUCAUUUAAAAAGUUUGAAUGGACAGAGAUAAGAUGAUACAAAGAACUUUAGUUUUUCAAAAUGGUGAAUCAAAAUUUAUUAUAAGCAGAUAAAUUGAAAUGGGUGACUUGUCGAUUAACUGGAAGAAACCGGGGAACGAAACAUAGAAAAUUUAUAGAAAGUCAACGCAACGAAACAGCGAAAGUGAUUUUGUUUUGAUGGAUAGUUUUACGUACCCUAAAAGCAGUACGAAAGCAUUUUCAAUGAAAGUACAUUUUGUACUUCAAGAAGUAGAAGAAUCUAAGCAACAGAACAGAAUUCAUUUGAGGCAUUGGUUUCUAGAUUAUAUAAUGGAUUCAUAGAUUGUCAUAUUGAUUUAUGUGCAUAUAAGGAGCAGCAGGCAAUAAUUAUUUUGUGAUGAGAGCUUGUUACCAUGGUUACCAAAUGAAAGGAAAGUACAGUAUUAAAAUCACUGGUGUACAUGUAGGUGCGGAUGUCAGGCAAAAAGAACUGGUAUCAAAGAACUGAAAAGUAAAGAAACAGAACCAAAGAACAUUAGUUUUUAAUUAAUACAAUAUUGAGCUCAAAGUCAAUCUAGUUGUCUUUCUUAAUCAUACAGGAUAUUUCCAAAAAGCAGCUGCAUACACAUGCACCAGUAUUAGCCAGCAGUGUAGACAAUUACAUAUCUGUGUAUGGUGAUAUAGCAAUAGAAAUAUCUCAUACAUCAUUGGAAAAUAUAGUAUAGACAAUAGAAAUGGAGUACACAUGUAUGUCAAAGAGACACACAUAUGAAAAUAUAAUAUAGACAAUAGAAAUGGAGUAUGUCAAAGAGACAAACAUAUGAAAAUAUAAUAUAGACAAUAGAAAUGGGGUAUGUCAAAGAGACACACAUAUGAAAAUAGAAUAUAGACAAUAGAAAUAUGGUACAAUGUAUGUCAAAGAGACAAAAAUAUGAAAUAGAAGAGACAACAACUUAAUAAAAAAAGUUCUACUUUAUAUAAAAAUUAUGGAGCACUUAUUGUUUUUUAUUUGUUUGAGCUUUUGAUUUUGCCAUGUAUUUUCUGUGGAAUUUGGUAUUUUGGGUUUUUUACUUUUUAAAGCAACAACUCAUCACAAUGAAGUAUUUACACUCAAAAUGAGUUCCUGACAGAAAAAAAAGAUGACAAAUUAAAGAAAAACAUAUUAAAAAACAUCAAAACAUUACCCUUAAAAACCUAUCGCAAAAAAAAAUACAUAUAUAUAAAAACCAUGUUAAGAAUCUAUGAGAAAAUAAAUGCAUUUGAACAAUUAAAAACAUAUAAAAAAUAAAUAUAUUUAAGACCAAGAUAAAAUCAUAUGAAAACAUAUGUUUGGGCCAAACAUAUGAAAACAUAUGUUUAGGACAAACAUAUGAAAACAUAUGUUUAGGCCAGGUAUGAAAACAUAUGAAAAACAUAUGUUUGUAAAAAACAUAUGAAAAACAUAUGUUUUUCAUAUGUUUACAUGUAUGAAAAACAUAUGUUU